UUUCGUUUAGUAUGUGAGCGAGUCCGAUUGUCAUGUCAUUUCUUUCGCCUGUUGAAAUACCACUGCUGGAAAAAAUUCUUUCCUGUCACCAAAACAGGACCAGAAGCUAAUGAUGUUAUUUUAGAAGACAGAAAACAAAGUCGUUCCAGCACAUCUUCGAAUGUUUUCAAAGGCAGCUGUUAAAAGAGGAGCCCAGCGACUGAGUCUAAAACAGAGGUUCAAAACUCGUCGUUUAGCGUUCAGUUCGGCAGCACAAAUUUCAGGAACGUCUCAAGAACUGCGUCGUCAUUAUUUCAGCAUGAAAGACCUCUCUGUAAUGCUGCUGAUGCUGGCACUGGCAGCCGUGGCACCCUGCUGCCAAGGAGGAGGCUACGCAGGGGCCUUCGCAAGUCACGCAGCCGAGAAACGGGACGCGGAGCAGAAGACGCCGCCCUUCGGCGUGAUGUCGACCUGCAUCUGCUACCCCAUGAGCGAAGGACUCCCCGCAGGAUUUCCAGGCAAAAACGCCGAUCCUGCGCUGUUGGCAGAAUGGGCCAAGAACCAGGGCAGCGUCAGCUCCUACAUGGAAAACGUGGCUGAAUCCAGGGCAUCUGCCGAUGUCAGCGCCCCGACUUACGUGCAAGUUUACAAGGACGAUUCAGUCGACACCACGACAGUGGCAUGAAAUGAGUGAGGGUCAGUAAGCUUUGCAAAAGUAAUCCUCCUUCGAAGGUUUGUGAGGGUUAGCGAGCCUAAAAUGAUUCUCGGGCGGAGUUUCACCCGCAUUAAAAUGAUGCCUUCCUUCUCAAGACAAUAAA